AAGGCGCUUACAGGAAGCCGGCGGAGUUGGGGCAAUUCGGAUUGUUGGAGCUGUCAGUUCACGUCAGUUUUUCUAUUUAUCAUGUCAUGGUAAUAUAGCAGUACACACAUAGGUUGGCCAACAAUGCAGAAAAAGCACCAGAACACCAUGUUUCCCACCUGGAAGAAUAAUCAGCAGUAAAGUGAAAUUUUUAAGUAAAACCGUGCAGAAUAGAAAGUCGAGAAUGGGGAACUGAACAUAGUUCGUGUCGCUAAAUUCAAACCACGAUAUCCAAGCAAGAAAUACCAUGUGAGCAAAACGAACAUAUAAAAACAUAGGCAUACAGUGAAGAAAAACGUACCAUUGAAUUUUUGAACUUGUUCUGCAAAUAAUUUGUUACAAUAACCAGAGGAACCUGCUCAGAAAUGAUACCAGAAUUCAUAAACUAUAUUAAAUCUCGAGAAGCAGAUGUAGUUCAGAACCGAAUUACAAUUCAACAUUGGUCAUAAUUGAUACAAGGAUAAUAGGUUAAAGCAAGAACUAUCAAAAAUGGUAGGGAAAAUCAUUCACUCACAUGAUCACGUCAAAACUCGAGAAGUCGCAUCACUCACGUUAAGAGAUACUAAAUUUCACAAAUGCUGGUAUAAAUUUCA
rnacentral:lncRNA from 1 species